UUUUUGUAAUUCCUCCUAUUGGUAUGUCACACCGUGUCUACUGAGAUCUAAGCACCUGCGUUAGUAGUCUAAUGGCUCGACUUUUGGUAAGAGCCAUUAGUCGCCUAGCAGAAUACCACUUUUAACGUGAGUGUAUAACGUGUCUUGUUAUUACAUAAUAUCUUUAAGUCUUAGAUAAUUUCUAUUUAGGUAGCACAAAGGUGUCUCCGUUGAUAUUAAACUUCGUAAGUUGUUUAAUUAGUGGACAUAAUUAAAAAUAACUCAUGUAUUCAACAUAAGAUGUGCGAGUGUACAUGUGUAUGGAUGUUUUAUUCAGGUUUAUAAAACGUAAUUACAUAUAUAUUUUGAAACAACGCAUCAAUUUUACGGCCAACAUCUUCUGCGCCCAGAAAUUUGAUCUUAACCCACGCUUUACUUCUAACUUUGACGAUUCCUGUGUCCAACAUGUAUACGUAUCGACUCAUGGUCUUCAAAUCGCCUCACUUCUCUCUAUUAAAAAAACACAUUAUCCAUUAGGACCCCUUCUCUCAUCUCCGAGUUGUGCCCAAUGUCACAUUUAGAUCUAGAGAGUUGCGGAGAGGGGCCGGCAUGGAGAUUGACGGAGCAGCAGCCGCAGUGGGACCAUGGAUUAGCUUCUUGUGGAUGCAGAAUCCGUACCGCUGGAGGCUUGGUCGUGGAGGCUCCUCCCAGGAACUCUACCUCCGGCGGCGGCGCCCACUGGGAUUUAUCAGCUCACCCGGCUUCCACCUUCCUCGCCUUACAGCCAGCGCUGCCGAUGCCCCUGCCCCAGCCGUGGGACGCAGACGGAGGAUCAUGCUCCUGCUGCUGAUGCGGAUGCUGCUCUCGUCGACCUCGCACAGGGUGGCAAAUCCGCCGUGCACGCUGCCCAGCUCGAUGCUGAAGCUAUGGGUUCGGCUCCCCCUUCGACCUUGCCACGGACCGACGGACGGCGUCCACGCUGUGCCCGCCGCUCAUGUUGUGGACGCCCUUGAUGAUUAUGGCGCCGACGCGGGCGCCCGACUAUGCUCAGGUUCUUGCCGACCGCCUCGCAACUUGGAUGUGAACAUCGAGUUCACUUUCACCGAUGAAAUCCAAAACAAAAUGCCCUUGCAAGUACAAUUGUAAAAAUGUUUUGGGACUUUCUACGACCUGUGCAUAGCCCCGCCAUCAGCCAAGCCCACAGUCCCUUUCUGCUUUGGUCCCCUCCACCACAACGACCAUGUUACAGGUCAGGUUCCUCUGUCUAACCUACUUAGGCAAAAAUGUAAAUACGUACCUAUAGUUCAAAUCCUGCAAGUUGCAUCCCCUGAUGCUGCGCAACGCUCCAACAACGCAGUUGUGUUCCUCUUGCUCUUCUAUACUUCUGUAUUUAUUAAGAAAGACAACAACAUAAGGGAGCAUUGAGAUGAAGGUUAAUUUGUUUGUUGCAGCAAAGGACAGAUCGAUGUACUACAUGAUUUUUACUCCACCUAUAUACAAUUAUAUGCACUUAAGUAGUCACUCAAUCAGGAAACGCUAAACUGAAAAUAAGCAAUAAAUUUCAGUCCUUAUUUGUCACUAUUAGAAUUAAUAUUUAGCAACAACAGCAAACAAAAUCAGCACUGAUCUCCUAGAGCACUGCUUAAAAUCAGAUGAACAAAUCUCGGUAGUGCAAAAUUGUUAUGAAACGAUUUAUAGAAUGCACGUUCGUUGUACAUAUACACACAAUUAGAAAGAUUUAAGCUAAAGUGCUGUCAGCAAUUCAAUGGAAUCCACAUCUGCAAAAUUUGCGCUGAGCUUUUCUUAAGAUGUCGUUGCUCUUUUCAGUUUCAUCAAUAAUAUCUGAUACACCAAUGGAAAAAUGUAGCCAUGUAGAUCCCCAAAUAUAUGUAAUUAGUUUGAAAAUCGUACAAAAUUCUAACCGUACAUAGAGUAAAGAUGAUAUACUCUAAGAUCUCUUGCACUGAAGGAUCUCCUUGUACACUUGCCAAAUUAUUUCAUUGUGAUUCUUCGGCUGUGAUUAGAACUUUAAGUCCAUCUGUAAUACACCAACAUUUAAAUGUAGCCUUGUAGAUCUAUAUAUAUAUAUAUAUAUAUUAUAUAUAUAUAUAUAGGCACGCUAAACUAAGCCUAAGCGCAUAUUGCUUAUUCUGCGCUCCGGCCACACCGCUUGGACUGUGCCUCGCUAAACAAGCCAGCGUGCAACUGCUCAGUUCUUUUGGCUUCCACUUGAUCGUAAUCAUGAGUAAAACAUAGUAACCGCUUUACUACAACCACACUUCUAAUUUGGUGGGAACCGAUGGUAAUAUUACGAUGAUGCAUGGUAAUCCAAUGUGCUAGCUCUAGUAAUUCAUUCAUUUAUAGUUCAUCCACGGUGCGCUCACUUGUGAGUGUAUGGUAACUUCAAGUGGUAAUUCUAGUAAUGAGAAAACUACUAUUCAAUCCUAGGAUCAAUUACCACACCGUAAUACAAUUACCACCUAGAGGUUGGUAGCAAUCGGCUCAUAACAAAGCAGUCGACUUAGCUAAUUAGCAACACAAAAGCUAGUGAGGUAAUCCUUUUACUAUAUUUUUGCAAAUAGUUAUGAGCAUCUAGACUAAAGGGAAAAUGGCCAACUAAAUCCACCUGUGCACGUCUCCUCUUUGUAGUGGUUGGUGGUAAAAGAAUCCAUUGGUUUUACUACUGAAGAUGGAGACUUCAGACAAUUUUAGCAAUUUUACCAUGCUUAAUAGGAUGGCCUUGCGAGGCGGAGAAGUUGUCCAUGGAAUCUAGUAACUGAUUAAAUUGCAUUACUUUUUUUUUGCAUGUGGUUUUACCAUCAUUAGUGAUGCUUUAUUAGCGGAGCGGCAGGCGCUGUGGGCAUAGCGGCCGGAGCGCACGAUUAGGCUUCUGCGCGUUCGCACAUAAUAGCGCUACCGUGUAUACACACACACACACACACACACACACACACACACACACACACACACAUCUGGGCUAUUCUGUUACGCGUAACAGAAUAUUAUUCUGUUACCCUUCUUGAACUGACGUGGUUUACAGGUUGGACUGACGUGGUUUUCUACUUAAACUGAUCUUCCUACGUGUACGACGGGCGGAAACAGGGGAUGCAACGUGAAGCUUCCGGGCGUUCUCCGGCGCGAUGCUGCGGGCUAUUCGUUGCUAGAUGAGACAUGUAAGGGGUUCCGCACGUGCGCGCGCUCACCUGGUCGUGUUUUGCGAUCUGUAGUCAUCGGAGGUGACGGCGUGGGCAUUUGGCGGCGGACGUGUUUUGGGCGUUGGUGUUGACGGUGGUGUCCGUAGGCCUCAAUUUACGUCCUGUUUGUUGUUUUGGAUGUGAGAAUUAUUAGUAUGUUAGAGUUUUUGGAUAUUAAUUUCAUUUGUAAUUUCUGAUUACAAGUUUUGGUGUUCUUGGUCAUUUUCCACGCCCGCCAUGUAAAUGUGUUCUUCUUUUUCUGUUGUUUUACUUUCAAAUUGGUGUUGCAGGGAGAGAUAUGAGGAUUGUAUGAAAAGAUUUGCGUUGUCAA